rnacentral:rRNA from 1 species
CCUACGGGGGGCAGCAGUGGGGAAUAUUGGACAAUGGGGGGAACCCUGAUCCAGCGACGCCGCGUGAGUGAAGAAGUAUUUCGGUAUGUAAGGCUCUAUCAGCAGGGAAGAAAGAAAUGACGGUGCCUGACUAAGAAGCCCCGGCUAACCACGUGCCAGCAGCCGCGGUAAUACGUAGGGGGCAAGCGUUAUCUGGAUUUACUGGGUGUAAAGGGAGCGUAGACGGCAGUGCAAGUCUGAAGUGAAAGGCGGGGGCCCAACCCCCGGACUGCUUUCGAAACUGUGCUGCUGGAGUGCAGGAGGGG